CUGAUUUAGCCAUGCCGCGUGUGUGAAGAAGGCCUUCGGGUUGUAAAGCAUUUUCAGCGGGGAGGAAGGCGGUGAGGUUAAUAACCUCACCGAUUGACGUUACCCGCAGAAGAAGCACCGGCUAACUCCGUGCCAGCAGCCGCGGUAAUACGGAGGGUGCAAGCGUUAAUCGGAAUUACUGGGCGUAAAGCGCACGCAGGCGGUCUGUCAAGUCGGAUGUGAAAUCCCCGGGCUCAACCUGGGAACUGCAUUCGAAACUGGCAGGCUAGAGUCUUGUAGAGGGGGGUAGAAUUCCAGGUGUAGCGGUGAAAUGCGUA
rnacentral:rRNA from 1 species